rnacentral:rRNA from 1 species
UACGUAGGGUGCAAGCGUUGUCCGGAAUUAUUGGGCGUAAAGAGCUCGUAGGCGGUCUGUCGCGUCUGCUGUGAAAACUCAGGGCUUAACCCUGGGCUUGCAGUGGGUACGGGCAGACUAGAGUGCGGUAGGGGAGACUGGAAUUCCUGGUGUAGCGGUGAAAUGCGCAGAUAUCAGGAGGAACACCGGUGGCGAAGGCGGGUCUCUGGGCCGUAACUGACGCUGAGGAGCGAAAGCGUGGGGAGCGAACAGG